rnacentral:lncRNA from 12 species
AAUGUUCACAUGAAGAUAUAAACAGAAAAAGAAGCCACUUCAUAUGUAAAGAAAAAGGAAGAUGCUUCCUCAAGAUCUCAAAAGCUCGGAUUCACACUCCUCAUCCUCCCCGAGAAGAGUGAGGAGAAAAUUCUCAUCAAAGAACUUUGCCCUGUAAGUACUGCGCCCUCAAACUUACUUGGAGAUACUUCUUCAAGAAUGCUCAUCGAUGUAGUGUGUUCAUCAUUAAAAGGAUAAACAACCUACUCUCCAGGAAGUUUUUCUCGCUCCGGACAUGAUUCAUUUUGCGAUGUCCUUUGCACACCUCUCAAGGUUUGUGGUACACAAUGAGGAAAGCUGUGUGUAAGGUUUCUGAGAGUCAAAGGAAAACAAUCCUAGAUUACACCCACUCCCAUAUUUCUUAUACUGAAUAGUGUGUGUGUGUUGUUUAGUUUCUCUUCCCUAAAAGCCUCCCUUUUGACCCCUACCUACCCACACUAAAGAUGUAGUUUCCAGCUCGUUGGAAGGAAGGCCUCCCUCCGAUGUUAUCUCUGCUCCUUCACAUCACACUGGAAGAGGUCGAUUAAAAAACACCUGAAGCCAGUCACCUAAAACCAUCUUGGCCUCAUCCCAAGGGCUGUGACAACAGGCCGCCUCCUGGAGACCUGAAACAGUACUGAUAUGGUAGCCCUGGCCCAGAGAGCUGCUGCAGAGGUGCCCCCUCUGGGCUGGCAUCAGGCCUAUCCCGCCUGGCGCCUCUGGCCCUGCAGAGCUGUGCAACCGGCGGCCGCGGCCCCCAUGCCGAGACCACAUUCCGACCUCCGUGUGGAAGUCAGCCACUCCAGAAGGCUCUGUUUCUAAAACUGUCCAUCCCAGAAGAACUGCAGAUAGAUGAAGAUGCAUUUCAUCAACCCAGUAAGAAACAAACACCAAAACAAAACUCUGGAGGAUUCUGGAUUCUCACUCGAAGAAUCCCUUUCUUCGAGUGAGAACCCAAAAUGCCAAAAUUCUAGGCCUUUAUAGUAUCCAUUCCUUGGGUUCUCUUUAACAAAGAGUUGCUUCUGCAUUCUUCUUUUACAGAAGGAAAAAUAAAGUCAUGUCGAUCUUAUACA